rnacentral:rRNA from 1 species
GACGAACGCUGGCGGCGUGCCUAACACAUGCAAGUCAACUUGACUGAAGGAGCAAUCUGACAGUAGAGUGGCGCAAGGGUGCGUAACGCGUAAGUAACUUGCCCCAAGGUAAGGAAUAACGUCGAGAAAUCGGCGCUAAUACCUCAUAAUGCAGCGGAUCCGCAUGGAUAUGUUGUUAAAGGUUUACCGCCUUGGGAUAGGCUUGCGUCUGAUUAGCUAGUUGGUGUGGUAACGGCACACCAAGGCUACGAUCAGUAACUGGUCUGAGAGGAUGAUCAGUCACACUGGAACUGAGACACGGUCCAGACUCCUACGGGAGGCAGCAGUGAGGAAUAUUGGGCAAUGCUCGAAAGAGUGACCCAGCAACGCCGCGUGGAGGAUGAAGGUAUUCUAUAUCGUAAACUCCUGUGAGAGCAGACGAAAGACAGAAUUAUUAAUACUGGAUGACUGUAUGCUCAGAGGAAGCCCCGGCUAACUACGU